GACGAACGCUGGCGGCGUGCUUAACACAUGCAAGUCGAACGGAAAGGCCCUGCUUUUGUGGGGUGCUCGAAUGGCGAACGGGUGAGUAACACGUGAGUAACCUGCCCUUGACUUUGGGAUAACUUCAGGAAACUGGGGCUAAUACCGGAUAGGAGCUCCUGCUGCAUGGUGGGGGUUGGAAAGUUUCGGCGGUUGGGGAUGGACUCGCGGCUUAUCAGCUUGUUGGUGGGGUAGUGGCUUACCAAGGCUUUGACGGGUAGCCGGCCUGAGAGGGUGACCGGCCACAUUGGGACUGAGAUACGGCCCAGACUCCUACGGGAGGCAGCAGGGGGGAAUAUUGCACAAUGGGCGGAAGCCUGAUGCAGCAACGCCGCGUGCGGGAUGACGGCCUUCGGGUUGUAAACCGCUUUCGCCUGUGACGAAGCGUGAGUGACGGUAAUGGGUAAAGAAGCACCGGCUAACUACGU
rnacentral:rRNA from 1 species